rnacentral:rRNA from 1 species
CGGGGGGCAGCAGUAAGGAAUAUUGGUCAAUGGACGCAAGUCUGAACCAGCCAUGCCGCGUGAAGGAUGACGGCCCUCUGGGUUGUAAACUUCUUUUAUCUGGGACGAAAAAAGGGCUUUCUAGCUCGACUGACGGUACCAGAGGAAUAAGCACCGGCUAACUCCGUGCCAGCAGCCGCGGUAAUACGGAGGGUGCAAGCGUUAUCCGGAUUUACUGGGUUUAAAGGGUGCGUAGGUGGGUCUGUAAGUCAGUGGUGAAAUCUCCGAGCUUAACUCGGAAACUGCCAUUGAUACUAUAGGUCUUGAAUUAUCUGGAGGUAAGCGGAAUAUGUCAUGUAGCGGUGAAAUGCUUAGAUAUGACAUAGAACACCAAUUGCGAAGGCAGCUUACUACGGAUUGAUUGACACUGAGGCACGAAAGCGUGGGGAUCAAACAGGAUUAGAUACCCGGGU